rnacentral:lncRNA from 1 species
AUGAAAGAGAAGGAGCCCUCCAGCCCGCUCGCUGGCGUCCCUGCCGCGCACCAGGCACCCGGUCCUCCCCCGCGCGCGUCCGCCGCUGACCUUGCGUCGAUCUCGUCCGAGUCCGCAGCGGCCGCCGGGUCUCCGCUCCCCGGCAGCAGGGGUCGGGGUGGGCGGGGCGGGCCGGGCUGGCCCGGGAGGGGUGCCCGCCGGCUGGCCGCACAAAGCCGAGGCGACCUCGCAGCGCCCCAUUCAACGCUCCGCCGCGCCCCCUCCUCGUCCGCUCCCCGCCCGCUCCUUAAAGGCAGAGCGCCGGGCUCGGCUCCCGGGGCGGCUCGCGGAGAGGCACAGGAAAUGACCUCAGCAGGCUCCAGCCUCCCACCUCUCCGCACCGCUGGGCUCGUCCCUGGGGCGGCGGGGACGGCGGCGGGGUCCCGUGGGCCGCGGGGAGGAGGGGCGUGUCUCCCGGACUGCGGCCCCGAGCUCUCUGUGGAGGUCGAAUCGGCUGCCGCCCGGGGCGGCCGAGUAGCCCCGGCAUCUGCUCAGCUCGCAACCAAACUGGGACCCUCGCGGGACGCGGCACAAGACCAGACCCUCCCCCAAAAAGGAGGUUCCAGCAUUUGUCGGGCGACUUGCAGGAACCGUCACGCCCGGAUAUUUGGAGCAGAAGUCUGUCCCACUGGCAGACCAAAGUUCUGAUUUGUAAUUUGAAACAAAACAAAACUCGCCACAGCCUAAAGGGUAAUUUGCUUGCGUCUGUCCGACUGUAUAUAUGCAUGCACUCAUUUAUUUUAAAGGAGCCGGCCUAGGAGCCGGAAAGGCCAACAGGCCACCGCCUGCGGGCAGCUCGCUGUGCACCCUUGCAGUCCCUCAGCUCACCAGUAUAAUCCUACACCCAAAGGAGAGUGGAACACUCAAUUUUUGGUUAGGUGGAUAUGGGGUAAAGAAGAUGAAUAUGGAGAAUAUUGCAGGGAAGAAUCUGCAUUUCAAAACAGAGCUUUCUUCCCCAAUCCUGCGG